AAGACCGCUAGGGAAAUACCGGCAUCCCUAACGCCAAAACGACCGGUGGGUCCGCGUGCUAGGAACUCGAGCGCAGCAGAGGCAGGUGGGGGGGAUAAAAGAGUCUGCUGGACUGUAUAAUAGCUUGUCUUACCAAAACCGGAAGUUCCGAGUGGACACGUGGGACGAGGGUUCGGUUAAAUAACUCAGGAUAGUGUCGUACACCGUUUCAGUGUGUUCCUGGAAAAGAGUCUUUAAGAUGCCUCAGACCGAUGAGUGGAGUGGGAUAAGCACCGAGCCGGAGGCUUCCUAAAACACUGUGUGUGCAUCAAUGUUGAAUCCUAGAGGAAACACUGAUUUCGACUGGACAAUUUUAAUUUGGUUGAUAGAACUUCUGAACAAUCCUGGUGAACUUUGCGGAUGGUCACACCAGUCUGGUCUCCCUGUCUCCUAGAAUCAUCAACCAGUCUGGUCCUGCUGGAUGGAAAGACCAGGAAUUGAGAAAGACCCGAAGAUGCUGACAGGAGCCCAGUGCAGACCUCUGAGCUCUUGCCAUGUGCUCAGAUGGCUCAGUCAGUCUGACCUCUCCUAAGUGGAUCAGACACCAUGACACCAUCAGAAGAUGAGGAACGUGUAUACGAUCCAUAAUAGAGACCGAAGAAGGACGUGAGACGGUGGAGAGACUCAGAGAGGAUGAGUUUGUUCUGAACGGAGGGAGACUAAAACUUAAGGGAAAUGUUCCCGCCACUCUCCAGGAACAAAACUAAAACUUAAGGGAAAUGUUUCCACCACUCUCCAGGAACAAAAGACAAUUCUGCCUGAAUAGAGAGAAUGAUUUGCUGUGUCUAAAGCAGCAAUGGUAGAGCACAAAGAAGGACGGCCUAGAAACCAAGAGGAAAACACAGAAGUUAAAAACGAAUAUAAAAAAGACGGAAACAUUUCCUCAAGUGUUUCCUAAAGACCAGUGAAAAGCCAGGAGUGGCAUUGCCCGUCUACACCCCAGCUCUCAGGGUCAGGUAUUCAAAGCCAGCUCGGGCAACAUAAAGCAUUCCAGGCCAGCCUGGGUUACACAAGACCCUGUCUGUCUUGGGUAGGCUUUCUAUUGCUGUGAUAAAACACGGACCAAAACCAACUUGAAGAGAGAAAUGUCUUUACUUUAUCUUAAAAUUCUUGAGGUCACAUUCCAUGACUGAGGGGAGCCACGGCAGCAGCCAGAACAGGGCAAAAACCUGGAGGCAGGAGCUGAUGCAGAGGCUGUGGAGGGUGCUGCUUCCUGGUUUGCUCCCCAUGGCUUGCUCAGCCUGCUUUAUUAUAGAACCCAGGAUCACCUGCUCAGAAUGGUACCACCCAUGGUGAGCUGGGCCUUCCCACAUCUAUCACCAGGCAGGAAAACACACUAGAGGACUUUCCACUGGCUAAUCUGAUGGGGGAGGGUUCCUCAACUGAGGUUCUCUCUUCCCUCUGCUGUGUCAAAUUAACACUACCAUUUAAAAAAAAAAAGCAAAGACAAAACAACAAUAACAACAAAAAGCCAGGUGAAAGAACUGUUUUUAAUUACACAGCCUGCUAGUGGUCACAUAAAUGAGGAAUCGCUAACAAAUAGCUCAGUUUAUAACUUGCUAAUUUCUAAGCAUGGGUUUCCAGGUUGAGAGCACCCAUUCCAUAUCAGAACAGUGAUGAAAAUAAGUUCAUUCCAUCAGACACUUGCAAAAUUUCAGAACACUAGGUUUCAAGAUAUAUCGUGAAUACUUCCAAUGAGAGGAAAGAAAAACGUGUUCUUAAAAGCCUAAGAGUCACGGUGACCUGACAGCUCCCAGCGGCAGCAUAGGAAGGGACGAAGGCACUGGGCAAUGCUUCAAGUUUCUGAGGCAAAAUUACUUCUAGCCUCGAGAUGGACGAAGACAAGGUUGUUCUUAGUGUGAGAAUAAAGGAAGACAUUUCAGAUGCAGGAGAUGCUGAACACCGGUCCCAGUUUUGCUCUGUCUUGGGAAACUGAGAGUGUUCCAUCUAAACUCGGGGAGUAAAUAAACAAAGGGCAGGAGGGGCAAGACAAAGAGGUGAGGAAAAGUGAAGGAAAUUUCCAGGACAGAUGAAGUUGAGUCUGAGGACGACAGCAGCUGGAUGAAUGACCAAGCAGUCGAGGUAAGAAUGGUCAGAAGAGUUUGGACGGUGUGGGGAUGCAGUUGCUGAAUAAAACCACCCAACGAUGCACCGCAUUUUCUUUGCCUAUUAAGAUGCUGCUGGACUCUGUCUGAUCUCAUGGCUUAAUUAUUACAAAACUACAGCCGCAGCCGGGCCACACCUAUGUCUUUCUGCUAUUGCCGAUAGCAGCGGCACAUGACUGUCCAGGCAACAAGAUGUCUCUGUCAAUUUUAGAGUUUUGGAAGUUGCUUACAAUGCACUUCCUGCUUACUUAGGUAAUACUAUAUCCUUCUGGGGUCUUUGAUGGAGUUGAAGAAUAGAUAGUUAUAAUUAUAGUUUUUCUUAGUUCUUAUAAAAGAUAAAGUAGAUAUAAAUAUUGUAACUGUAAUUCUUGCUUGAUAUCUGUUUUGUUAUAUGUAAUUUUACAAUGUUAAAGUUAAAACCUUCCUUUUUAUUUAGACAGAAAAGGGGAAAUGAUGUUGGAAGUCCUGUAUAUGUGUUGCUUUUAUUGGUUAAUGUAUAAAGCUGCUUUGGCCAAUGACUUAACAGAAUAUAGUCAGGCUGGAAGAAAUAUAGAGAGAGUAGGCAGAGUCAGAGAGAAGCCAUGUAGCUGCCAUAUGAGACAGAUGCCUCCACCAGAGCCUGUGGAAUCUUUGCCAGUAAGCCAUGACCUCGUGAUGAUACACAGAUUAAUGGAGAUGGGUUAGUUUAGGACUUAAGAGCUAGCUAGCAAUAUGCUUAAGCCAUUGACAAAACAACAUUGCAAUUAAUACAGUUUCUGUGUGGUUACUUUGGGUCUGAGCGGCGGGGAAUGAAUGAGCAGAAAACCAAUGAGGGGCCAGGAACGAAGGAGCGGCCAGGAACAAACAAGCAGCCUCCGCCAACAAUACACGAAUAAAUCAGUAAAUAGGGCAGGCAAAUGAGCAGGUGUCAUGUGGAUAAUCAAGGGACGCAGAGACCAGAGGCAGAGAGCCCCACAGGUGCGGACGUCUGGUGAUGGGGAAGCUCUGGGCACGGCUGAGGAAGGCCAACAUGGAUGCGGCAGGGAAGUGGAGAAGCUAAGUGUUUAGUGACAGUCAGUCAGAAGUCAGAGCACGUAGAACAGUGUAAGCCCUCUCAGAUCUCUCUUUAUGUCAUGUAGAAAGGUUAAUAGAAAUAUGACCCAUGCAUCCUGACAUCUUAGAAAAUGUCCCCUGUUGGGGAAUACCUGGAGGAAGAUUUACUGUAUAUCUGCGGCGUGACUAUUGAGCUCCCAUCAGGAGGUCAUCCUGUCAAAUGAGUCCCUGCCCUUGUGAAUUGCCCAGUUUCAGACGCUUGCUAAGAGGUUUGCCUGCAUGCCCUGCUGAUCCAGCUGGAUCCAGCUCUUUAGCUCCCAGGCCAAGUGAUGCUUUAGUAUGCUCUCCAUCCAUUCCAUUCCAACCCCAUGAGCAGGUUGAUCAAUCAUUUGCCAGCUCGAGAUAUCCUGGUUACUUGACGUGAUGUCUGCCGCCAUUACAACCAUCUCUCUGAGCUUGAUUCUCGUGGUUGGGUGCAGCAAUCUGGUUGCAUCAUUUCGGAAUCACCCUAAGUCAUUGGUCACCCCCCCCCCCCCGCCGCCCCAGCAGCAACACUCAGUCUUCCACUGCCACAGAGCCUUUCCGGACCCCUGGCACCAUCUCCCUGAGAGUAGUUCAUCAUGUCUAGUGCACAGAUGUCUUCUUACGUUUGCUCCCUUAAAGAUCUAGUGGGGGUGCGGGGGAUGCAAGAUGCGGAUCGUAAAUGAGCUUCACAUUCCUUCGUGUCUAUGCCAAGAAUGUUCUCUAGCGUCAGUUUUAUGAAACGCUGAACCCAAAGUUCAAUCAACAAACCAAGGAAAAACCAGAGCCUCUUUGGCUACGCUAGCAUGCACACAUAAAAUCUAGGCUCAUUCUUAAAUGCAUCCAUAUGAGUACAUUUGGGUUAAUCUAAUUUUGACUUAUUUCCUCCCUGGAGUAGCACUCCUCAA